rnacentral:rRNA from 1 species
CCUACGGGGAGCUGCAGUGGGGAAUAUUGGACAAUGGGCGAAAGCCUGAUCCAGCCAUGCCGCGUGUGUGAAGAAGGCCUUCGGGUUGUAAAGCACUUUCAGUGGGGAAGAAAGCCUUGGGGCUAAUACCCUCGAGGAAGGACAUCACCCACAGAAGAAGCACCGGCUAACUCCGUGCCAGCAGCCGCGGUAAUACGGAGGGUGCGAGCGUUAAUCGGAAUUACUGGGCGUAAAGCGCGCGUAGGCGGUCUGAUAAGCCGGUUGUGAAAGCCCCGGGCUCAACCUGGGAACGGCAUCCGGAACUGUCAGGCUAGAGUGCAGGAGAGGAAGGUAGAAUUCCCGGUGUAGCGGUGAAAUGCGUAGAGAUCGGGAGGAAUACCAGUGGCGAAGGCGGCCUUCUGGACUGACACUGACGCUGAGGUGCGAAAGCGUGGGUAGCAAACAGGAUUAGAUACCCGUGUAGUC